CGGGCGGGCGGCCACAGGCUGCCAGACUGGCAUCAGCUGAAGUUGCCGAUCAUUGUCCGCGGGCUUUUGCCCGGCCGCCUCCGCCCAUAAGCUACUAGGAGGAGCUUUACCACUUCCCGGCCUGCUGGAAGUGCCGGGCACGAUCGCGAGGUAGCGCAGAAGCUCCUCAAUGGCCAGCGCCAGCUGCAGCCCUGGCGGCGCAUUGGCCUCACCUGAGGCCACAUGCGUCCCACAACACCUUCCCCAGCCAGGGCUCGGGGACCACGGGAGAGUCCCCCGCCACUUGGCGCCGCUCAUCCUGGGCAGGGUCGGCCCCUCUGAGACUGCCACGUAUUAGGGAGCUGCACCCCCGAGCUUGACCUCUGACGGCCGGCUCUUGCUCUUGCAGAAUCCAACGGUCUUUCUUGAAGAAAUGUGUAGUCAGAACUUCGUGCUGCAUUUUUAUCUUGGGAAGGAACAGAAGAGUGUGGUCUAGAAAUCUAGCGCUGGAGACACGAGGAAAAUUCUUCCAAGGAUGGUCUCCCACUCAGAGCUGAGGAAGCUUUCCUACUCAGCAAAUGCUGUAUGUUUUGAUGUUGACAGCAUGGUCAUCAGAGAAGAAGGAAUUGGACACGGUGAGCCAUGGGCGGGGCAGUGCCUUUCAAAGCUGCUCUCACGGAGCGCUUAGCCCUCAUCCAGCCCUCCAGGGAGCAGGUGCAGAGACUCAUAGCAGAACACCCCCCACACCUGACCCCCGGCAUAAGGGAACUGGUAAGUCGCCUACAGGAGCGAAAUGUUCAGCUUUUCCUAAUAUCUGGUGGCUUUAGGAGUAUUGUAGAACAUGUUGCUUCAAAGCUCAAUAUCCCAGGAACCAAUGUAUUUGCCAAUAGGCUGAAAUUCUACAUUAAGAUGUUAAUUGUAACAUGUU